GACGAACGCUGGCGGCGUGCCUAAUACAUGCAAGUAGAACGCUGAAGGAGGAGCUUGCUUCUCUGGAUGAGUUGCGAACGGGUGAGUAACGCGUAGGUAACCUGCCUGGUAGCGGGGGAUAACUAUUGGAAACGAUAGCUAAUACCGCAUAAUAGCAGUUGUUGCAUGACAACUGUUUGAAAGGUGCAAUUGCACCACUACCAGAUGGACCUGCGUUGUAUUAGCUAGUUGGUGGGGUAACGGCUCACCAAGGCGACGAUACAUAGCCGACCUGAGAGGGUGAAUGGCCACACUGGGACUGAAAAACGGCCCAGACUCCUACGGGAGGCAGCAGGAGGGGAUCUUCGGCAAUGGACGGAAGUCUGACCGAGCAACGCCGCGUGAGUGAAGAAGGUUGUCGGAUCGUAAAGCUCUGUUGUAAGAGAAGAACGAGUGUGAGAGUGGAAAGUUCACACUGUGACGGUAUCUUACCAGAAAGGGACGGCUAACUACGUG
rnacentral:rRNA from 1 species